UACAGAGGUGGCAAGCGUUGUUCGGAAUUACUGGGCGUAAAGGGCGCGUAGGCGGCCAUCUAAGUCAGACGUGAAAUCCCCCGGCUUAACCUGGGAACUGCGUCUGAUACUGGACGGCUAGAGUUUGGGAGAGGGAUGUGGAAUUCCAGGUGUAGCGGUGAAAUGCGUAGAUAUCUGGAGGAACACCGGUGGCGAAGGCGGCAUCCUGGACCAACACUGACGCUGAGGCGCGAAAGCUAGGGGAGCAAACAGG
rnacentral:rRNA from 1 species